rnacentral:rRNA from 1 species
AACUUGAGAGUUUGAUCCUGGCUCAGAACGAACGCUGGCGGCAGGCUUAACACAUGCAAGUCGAGCGCCCCGCAAGGGGAGCGGCAGACGGGUGAGUAACGCGUGGGAAUCUACCCAUCUCUACGGAACAACUCCGGGAAACUGGAGCUAAUACCGUAUACGUCCUUCGGGAGAAAGAUUUAUCGGAGAUGGAUGAGCCCGCGUUGGAUUAGCUAGUUGGUGGGGUAAUGGCCUACCAAGGCGACGAUCCAUAGCUGGUCUGAGAGGAUGAUCAGCCACACUGGGACUGAGACACG